rnacentral:rRNA from 1 species
AGUGCGUAAUAGCUCACUGGUCAAGUGGCUCUGCGCCGAAAAUGUAACGGGGCUAAGCAUAGUACCGAAGCUUUGGAUAUUAGUCGUCCGUCGUCAGACGUCAGACGCCGGAAGAGUCGUAAGACGUCAGACGUCAGACGUAAGACGUCAGGAAUACCUGACGACCGAAGUCCGACGACCUAAGUCGACCGACGUCCGACGACCGACGACUAAUGUGGUAGGGGAGCGUUCUUAACGGGCAGAAGCUAUACCGUGAGGAGUAGUGGACUGUUAAGAAGAGAGAAUGCUGGCAUAAGUAAGCGAGAAGGCAGGUGAGAAUCCUGCCCGCCGGAAGCCUAAGGAUUCCUGGGGAAGGCUCGUCCGCCCAGGGUAAGCCGGGACCUAACCCGAGGCCUAAUGGCGUAGGGGAUGGACAACUGGUUGAGAUUCCAGUGCCACCAUCAAACCGAUUGAGUGAUGGGGUGACGCAGGAGGAUAAGUGAAGCGUGCGAUUGGAAGAGCACGUCCAAGCAUUUAGGAGGCAGAGUAGGCAAAUCCGCUCUGUGUAAACUCUGAGAUGUGACGGGGAGGGAAGCGUAGUACCGAAGUCACCGAUUCCAAACUGCCAAGAAAAGCCUCUAGCGAGGUUUGAGGUGCCCGUACCGCAAACCGACACAGGUAGGCAAGGAGAGAAUCCUAAGGCGCGCGAGAGAACCCUCGUUAAGGAACUCGGCAAAAUGACCCCGUAACUUAGGGAGAAGGGGUGCUCCGUUAUCGUGACAGGAAACUUGAGCGAGAGGGAGCCGCAGUGAUCAGGCCCAGGCGACUGUUUAGCAAAAACACAGGUCUCUGCAAAAUCGAAAGAUGAAGUAUAGAGGCUGACGCCUGCCCGGUGCCGGAAGGUUAAGGGGAAAGGUUAGCUGUUAAGGCGAAGCUUUGAACCGAAGCCCCGGUGAACGGCGGCCGUAACUAUAACGGUCCUAAGGUAGCGAAAUUCCUUGUCUGGUAAGUUCAGACCCGCACGAAAGGCGUAACGAUCUGGGCACUGUCUCGACGAGGGGCUCGGUGAAAUUGUAAUACCGGUGAAGAUGCCGGUUACCUGCGAUAGGACAGAAAGACCCCGUGGAGCUUUACUGUAGCUUGAUAUUGGAUUUUGGUAGUUUAUGUACAGGAUAGGUGGGAGGCUUUGAAGGCAGGUCGCCAGGCUUGCUGGAGUCAUCGGUGGGAUACCACUCUUAAAUUGCUGGAGUUCUAACCUAGGCCCGUGACCCGGGUCAGGGACAGUUUCAGGUGGGCAGUUUGACUGGGGCGGUCGCCUCCAAAAGAGUAACGGAGGCGCCCAAAGGUUCCCUCAGCGCGGAUGGAAAUCGCGCGAAGAGUGUAAAGGCAUAAGGGAGCUUGACUGCGAGACAGACAUGUCGAGCAGGGACGAAAGUCGGGCUUAGUGAUCCGGCGGUACCGAGUGGAAGGGCCGUCGCUCAUCGGAUAAAAGCUACCCCGGGGAUAACAGGCUUAUCUCCCCCAAGAGUUCACAUCGACGGGGAGGUUUGGCACCUCGAUGUCGGCUCAUCACAUCCUGGGGCUGGAGAAGGUCCCAAGGGUUGGGCUGUUCGCCCAUUAAAGUGGUACGUGAGCUGGGUUCAGAACGUCGUGAGACAGUUCGGUCCCUAUCCAUCGCAGGCGCAGGAGAAUUGAGAGGAUCUGUCCCUAGUACGAGAGGACCGGGAUGGACAGACCGCUGGUGUACCAGUUGUCUCGCCAGAGGCACAGCUGGGUAGCUAUGUCUGGGACGGAUAAGCGCUGAAAGCAUCUAAGCGCGAAGCCAACCUCAAGAUGAGUUCUCCCACCUGGCACUGAGUGCCAGGGUAAGAUCCCAUCAAGACUAGGUGGUUGAUAGGCCAGAAGUGUAAGUGCAGCAAUGCAUUAAGCGGACUGGUACUAAUAGAUCGAGGGCUUGACCUU